UUGCCAUGUACUGUAUGUGACAACUGUGACGAGCGAAGAAGAGAGGAAGCCCAACUUGCAUUUACACAGAAUAUGAGAACUAAUGUAACCAAGUGAAACCAAAGGGUUUGACGACUGUGUGUGGGAGGGCAAGGCAGAAAAGAAGGCAAGAGCCUGCACAGGAUGGGCGUGGAAGUUUCACACUGAGUUUCACUCCUGGCUCGCAAUCCUGUCAUUCAACAACUUAUAUGGCACUGGGGUUUCACAGGGACAGGUUGGGCUGCAGAGCUGUUGUCUUUUGGACUACAGUGUCAGCUGUGGUGUUUGGAUGACCACGUGUGGAAAUCUUAACAGAAAACAUCAUAUCCACAGGAAGAAGCUUCAUGUGGCAGCUGUCGCCUUGAACUGGAAUUUUGUUUAAGGGACAAGAAGACAACACACCUGCCUGCCAUUUUACUGAGACUUUAAUAUCACUUUGAAUCUGGACUAACUGAGAAAUCACUUGUUUCACUGAAGGAGUGUUUUCAGAUUGAGGAGCAGUGCCUUUUAUAAUUGAUCAGAAAUGUCUGCGUCACCACAUGAAAAGGUGGAUGAAUUGGACCCACUGAACGACAUCCAAGAGGCAGGUGACGCGCAAAAUAAUGACACUAGAAUUCAAAUAUGCAAUGCCUUCUGCAACAACGACCCGUACCACAGGAAACUCGCCAUCUGCAGCAUCAUCUGUGGGAUCUCAUGCAUUGGAAUCAAGGCUCUGAUACACUCAGUCAAGGCUGAGACGACAACAGAUCCAGGGGAAGCUAGAGAGUUUUUAAACAAGGCGAAGAAAAAUAGCAUCAUCUCCAUUGUGACAUUGGUUUCCAUUCUGGCUGCAAUUCCCAUUCUGAUGGCACUGAUCUCAUAUCUCCUCACUCUGAAAGACUAAUCAACACUGAUAAACCUCUACAGAAGAGUGACUUUUGGAUGCUUAUGGAGACAGACAGCAGACAAUACAAAAGGUGCUUAUCAACAACUAAAAGCCAUGAAGAUAUGAAGAGACUGGUGCUUCCAUGGAGAACAUAAAGACUGGUUUAGUCUUUCUUGUGCUGAUAAAACGACGGCUGUCCCAGUUUACACUUUUAUACUUCCUCUUAGACAUUUGUUUUUACACAAAGGAACAACCACUCUGGAAAACAGUGUCAAAAACUUGGAUGUCUUUUUAUAUGCUGUAAUAUUUAUUUAACAAUAUACAAUAGACAAUUCAAAAUCUAAAUGACCAUAUAAAAUCCAGCAUUGACUAUAGUUUGAGACAUGACACUACCUGACAAAUAUACAUUAUAUAUUAAAGAUUAGAACUGUCAUUCCCCGGUAAUGACCCAAUCCUUGAUGUUUCUGAACCAUAAACGCCAUUACAGUUGAACACAUUCAUUGUUAGAUAUUAUAUAUGCUUGCAAAUACUACAAAAGUUAAUGGAUUAUUCAAGCUGACAAUCUAAAAAGGAGCAACAUAAACGUUUUCAUCAAGGAUUGGGUCUCUACUGGAAAAAAAACUGGCAUGGCAGUGCUUCAUCAGAACAAGAUCCUGCUCUUGUUGCCAACAUUACCUUGGCACUAUUGCAUUGUUACCAUAUUAGCUUUAUUAUUGUCAAAUGUAUCAUUAUGUUGUCCUUUUAUACAAACAUAUAAACAAACGACUUAAUAAUAAAAACGACAAAAACGUUUGUGCUUUGAGUUGCUUGAAGGAUCUUAUUACACCCUCAUAAAAACGGUAGUUAAGGCAACCUCAGAAAAAUUUGGCCAAAAAAGAAAAGUACAUACAUAGGCAGUUUAUCAAGAAGUUACACUUGCAAUACAAAUAUAGACACCACAGAAUAAUCCAGAGAGAGCCACAGGGAUUAGAGAGCCAACCAGCAGUGGAAUCUGGACACCUCCACUCUUGAUUAGUAAUGCUCUCUGGAGUGCUGUAUUGUUUCUAAGUUAUACUUUAUACAACUAAAACCUCUUCAGCCAUGAAAUUUACAAACACAAAUAAUUGAUAAAUGAGUAGAGAACGGAGCCGUGUAAAAUGAUUAACACAUGCUGCUUGCAGACACACGUGACUGUAUACAGAGUCCGUGGAUAGACACCUGUUUGUGAAAUUAGCUGCGGCGAAUACAAAUCUCUUGCUGGCAUGUUUAAAAGUUAUAUUCAGCACUUAAUAAAAAAUAGCUGCCUUUAUGGUCUAACUUACAAUAAUGCUGCAAGAUGUCUACUCAUGUCAUGCGCCUUCUUUCAAACGCGACAGUGCAAAAGAAAUAAGAUGCAUUCUGCAGUAGCAUUUUUAGAGAAGAAACAGUCAUUGUAAAGAAAACAGCGUCAUCACU